CUACGGGUUGCUCCAGUGAGGAAUAUUGCACAAUGGGGGGAACCCUGAUGCAGCAACGCCGCGUGGAGGAUGACGCAUUUCGGUGUGUAAACUCCUUUUAUAUGUCAAGAAAAUGACGGUAGCAUAUGAAUAAGCACCGGCUAACUCCGUGCCAGCAGCCGCGGUAAUACGGAGGGUGCAAGCGUUACUCGGAAUCACUGGGCGUAAAGGACGCGUAGGCGGGUUGGAAAGUCAGGUGUGAAAUCCUACGGCUUAACUGUAGAACUGCACUUGAAACUUCUAAUCUAGAGUAUGGGAGGGGGAGAUGGAAUUCGUGGUGUAGGGGUAAAAUCCGUAGAUAUCACUAGGAAUACCUAAAGCGAAGGCGAUCUCCUGGAACAUUACUGACGCUAAGGCGUGAAAGCGUGGGGAGCAAACAGGAUUAGAUACCCUAGUAGUC
rnacentral:rRNA from 1 species